rnacentral:rRNA from 1 species
UACGAAGGGUGCAAGCGUUACUCGGAAUUACUGGGCGUAAAGCGUGCGUAGGUGGUUCGUUAAGUCUGUCGUGAAAGCCCCGGGCUCAACCUGGGAAUGGCGAUGGAUACUGGCGGGCUAGAGUGCGGUAGAGGAGAGUGGAAUUCCCGGUGUAGCAGUGAAAUGCGCAGAUAUCGGGAGGAAUACCGAUGGCGAAGGCAGGUCUCUGGGCUGACACUGACGCUCAUGCACGAAAGCGUGGGGAGCAAACAGG